rnacentral:misc_RNA from 1 species
UAAAAAUUGCCUUCGAAAUCCAGAAAAACCUAAAACACUCCCUCACAAACCUAGAAUAAUAUCAAAAAUUCAUUAAAAAUUCAAGAACAUAGCCCACAGAACAAUCAAUAACAGAACAUUAAACACAACAAUAGCAAGAACCUAAAUAUCAAUGGCAACCUAGAUUAAUUUAAACCCAUAAUAGCAAAUUAAAAAAAAAAAAGAAAUUUAGGAAAUGAGUUUUUUCAUCACCAAUCCAUGCUUUUCUAGUCAUCUUUCCACACAUAAAGUCCACGAAAAGAGUUGCCCUAUCAUUUAGACCAUCUUGCAGAAAUGACUUAAAGAAAACUAUGGUGAUAGGCAGUGGCGAUGAUUGUAGAGAGUAAGAGAUGAAAAUGGCGUGUUUGGGGGGAAGGAAAAUGGUGUCCUUUAGGGAAGGGGAGACCAGAAAGAAAAAAGAGGGUGAGGUGUGUGUGUGAGGGGGAGAGAGAGAAUCAGGUUUUGAAUAAUUUGCAAUUUUUGAAACAGUAGGGACCAAAGUGUAUAUUAUGGCAAAACUUAGGGAGUAUUUUUUGUGAUGAACCCUUAUUUAUUUUGUUGGUCUGAAGAAUGUGUCACUGUGUUUGUCUUACUCAAGAAUGCGUUUGCAGGUUUGGGGUAGGGGAGUAUGACUGGAAGGAGUUU